CUGGGCUAGAAUGCCUCUGACAACCCUAGAGAUAGGGCUUCCUAGGGAAACCUAGGCAGAGUGCAAGGUGCUGCAUGGCUGUCGUCAGCUCGUGUCGUGAGAUGUUGGGUUAAGUCCCGCAACGAGCGCAACCCUUAUCAACAGUUGCCAUCAUUAAGUUGGGAACUCUGUUGAGACUGCCGUUGAUAAAACGGAGGAAGGUGGGGAUGAUGUCAAGUCAUCAUGGCCUUUAUGUUCAGGGCUACACACGUGCUACAAUGGCCGGUACAAAACGUCGCAAUCCCGCAAGGGGGAGCUAAUCGCUAAAACCGGUCUCAGUUCGGAUUGAAGUCUGCAACUCGACUUCAUGAAGUUGGAAUCGCUAGUAAUCGCAAAUCAGCAUGUUGCGGUGAAUACGUUCCC
rnacentral:rRNA from 1 species